rnacentral:pre_miRNA from 1 species
UGCCUUGUGCACUAUUUGUGCCUGCAUGGUCACUUUAUUAAGAUGGUGUAUCUUAAUCAAGUGACCAUGCAGGCACAAAUAUUGCACAAGGCAGCA